UGUGUUUGCGAUGUUUACGAGCAUGAACUGUGUCCCAGUCUUUUAAAACUUGCAGUUUGUUGCAGAUGUAGACUAUGAUAAGCAAUACGUCCUUAUUCAGAAACGAACUAAACCGCGACACUAGCCUAUAGCACUGAGUCGCCAUUAGUUUUACGCAAUUUGUUAGGCUACUUGAGGUUGAACAGGUGGGCCCCAAUCAUCAAGAAACGGGUUCUUUUGUAUGAUGACGAAAACUGUGGUAAUAGCAGCAGGCUCGGAUGCUACGGACUGAGAUUCAAGAACCACAAAAACUGAGCUGCAACCACUGCUCUCUCGCUGACAACUCUCUGGAACUCCCACUGCUCUCCGGAACUCUCUGGAACUCCCACUGCUCUUCGGAACUCUCUGGAACUCCCACUGCUCUCCGGAACUCUCUGGAACUCCCACUGCUCUCCAGAAAUCUCCGGAACUCCCACUGCUCUCCAGAACUCUCUGGAACUCCCACUGCUCUCCAGAACUCUCUGGAACUCUGGCAGUCUUACAACUCCUGGAACUUCUGCUACUGCUGUAGAUACAUUUCUGAGCACUCCAAAAUUCUUUCUCUGUAGCACAUAGCAGAGAGCAAGGUGAACAGAUAUACUUUACUUCAGCCAUAUUGCAUACCCUAUUUACCGGUAAAGUAACAGAUUGUUGUUUAAAAGUUGUUUCCUUUGGGUGGCUAUGUAUCACCCAUGUUAGAGCUACAGCCAUUGAGAUCAAUCAGGGCUGUGUGGCUUGGUAAUUAAUUGAUAGUGUCCCCACAAAUUAGACCACAAAUUAGCCUAUGGCUAUCUUGGGUGUAUGGCUUUUUGCCAUUUGAAAUUAAUUACUGAAAAUGAAAGGGAAAAUGGGUAGGCUCAUGUCUGCUUAACAUUUAAAAAUAAUGCACCUUGUGGUUACAGAAUAAAAAUAUGUGAGCAUGCACAACAACAGCAAAAACAACAAAAAAGUAAUAAAAAUCACACCCACUGUGGAAUUGAAGUCACACGGUGCAAAGAAAACAAAUAUUUUUCAUUCUGGCUGCACAAAAGAUCACGUCACCCUGUAAUUUACAUGAAAGGGCUGUGGUACGACUGUGAGCCGAGGGUUGUCUCUGCUGUUUUGUUACGUAAACACACACACGGCUGUAAAUUUGCUUGUAAAUAACUCUUGUCAAUAAAAGGCACGGAUGCCAACGUCUGAAUUCA